CAGCCGCCGCGGUAAUACGGAGGGUGCAAGCGUUAAUCGGAAUUACUGGGCGUAAAGCGCACGCAGGCGGUCUGUCAAGUCAGAUGUGAAAUCCCCGGGCUUAACCUGGGAACUGCAUUUGAAACUGGCAGGCUAGAGUCUUGUAGAGGGGGGUAGAAUUCCAGGUGUAGCGGUGAAAUGCGUAGAGAUCUGGAGGAAUACCGGUGGCGAAGGCGGCCCCCUGGACAAAGACUGACGCUCAGGUGCGAAAGCGUGGGGAGCAAACAGGAUUAGAUACCCGCGUAGUCCCUGUCUCUUAUAA
rnacentral:rRNA from 1 species